rnacentral:rRNA from 1 species
CCAAUGAGUGAUUGAAUGGCUGCGGUAUUUUGACCGUGCUAAGGUAGCAUAAUCAUUUGUCUUUUAAUUGAGGGCUUGUAUGAAAGGUUGGAUGAAGUAAUAACUUUCUUUAAUUUAAUUUAUGAAUUUAAUUUUUAGGUUAAAAAGCUAAAAUGUUUUUAUAGGACGAGAAGACCCUAUAGAUCUUUACAGUUUAUUAGGUAUAAUGAUUUGGUGAAUUAUUUAUUAUUAUUCAAUGAUUUUGUUUGAUUGGGGUGAUUGUGGAAUUCUUUUAACUUCCAUUAUUUUUUUUCAAUGAUUAUUGUUUUAUUUGAUCCAUUAGUAAUGAUUAGAAGAUUAAGUUACCUUAGGGAUAACAGCGUAAUUUCUUCGGAGAGUUCAUAUUGAUGAGGAAGUUUGCGACCUCGAUGUUGGAUUAAAAUUAGUGUUAGGUGUAGCAGCUUAAUAACUAGGUCUGUUCGACCUUUAAAGUUUU